CAGUGGGGAAUUUUGGACAAUGGGCGAAAGCCUGAUCCAGCAAUGCCGCGUGUGUGAAGAAGGCCUUCGGGUUGUAAAGCACUUUUGUCCGGAAAGAAAUCCUUGGCUCUAAUACAGUCGGGGGAUGACGGUACCGGAAGAAUAAGCACCGGCUAACUACGUGCCAGCAGCCGCGGUAAUACGUAGGGUGCGAGCGUUAAUCGGAAUUACUGGGCGUAAAGCGUGCGCAGGCGGUUUGCUAAGACCGAUGUGAAAUCCCCGGGCUCAACCUGGGAACUGCAUUGGUGACUGGCAGGCUAGAGUAUGGCAGAGGGGGGUAGAAUUCCACGUGUAGCAGUGAAAUGCGUAGAGAUGUGGAGGAAUACCGAUGGCGAAGGCAGCCCCCUGGGCCAAUACUGACGCUCAUGCACGAAAGCGUGGGGAGCAAACAGGAUUAGAUACCCUGGUAGUCCACGCCCUAAACGAUGUCAACUAGUUGUUGGGGAUUCAUUUCCUUAGUAACGUAGCUCACGCGUGAAGUUGACCGCCUGGGGAGUACGGUCGCCAGAUUAAAACUCAAAGGAAUUGACGGGGACCCGCACAAGCGGUGGAUGAUGUGGAUUAAUUCGAUGCGACGCGAAAAACCUUACCUACCCUUGACAUGGUCGGAAUCCGCUGAAAAGGUGGGAGUGCUCGAAAGAGGACCGGCCCACAGGUGCUGCAUGGCUGUCGUCAGCUCGUGUCGUGAAAUGUUGGGAUAAAUCCCGCAACGAGCGCAACCCUUGUCCUUAGUUGCUACACAGGAACACUCUAAGGAAACUGCCGGUGACAAACCGAAGGAAGGUGG
rnacentral:rRNA from 1 species